GACGAACGCUGGCGGCGUGCUUAACACAUGCAAGUCGAACGAGAAGAGAUGAGAAGCUUGCUUCUUAUUGAUUCGAGUGGCAAACGGGUGAGUAACGCGUAAGCAACCUGCCCUUCAGAUGGGGACAACAGCUGGAAACGGCUGCUAAUACCGAAUACGUUCUUUUUGUCGCAUGGCAGAGAGAAGAAAGGGAGGCUCUUCGGAGCUUUCGCUGAAGGAGGGGCUUGCGUCUGAUUAGCUAGUUGGAGGGUAACGGCCACCAAGGCGACGAUCAGUAGCCGGUCUGAGAGGAUGAACGGCCACAUUGGGACUGAGACACGGCCCAGACUCCUACGGGAGCAGCAGUGGGGAAUAUUGGGCGAAUGGGCGAAAGCCUGACCCAGCAACGCCGCGUGAAGGAAGACGGUUUUCGGAUUGUAAACUUCUUUUAAGAGGGACGAUAAUGACGGUACCUCUUGAACAAGCC
rnacentral:rRNA from 1 species